ACUCCAUCUCAAAAAAAAAAAAAAAAAAAAAAAAACUGAUGUGUAGGUGUUUUGUGAUCAAAAAAUUGGGGAUUUACUCUAGGGAGUCAGGGAAAGCUUCCCCUAGCAUGUCUUAUGUGUGCCAUGAGCUGCAGUUCAUGAUAAAGACUGACCAAUUAGGUGAAGGCGAGAACUGGAGGGGAAGAACCUUCUAGCACAAGUUAAGGCUUUCCAGUAGGUGUGGGAGGGAUCAUUCGGGGACAGAAUCAAAGCCAAUGUGGCUGAACAAGGAGUUGGAGUGGGGAGUGUGCAGAGAGUGAGAUGAAGUUUAAAGGUCAGCAGAAACCAGAUCACAAGCAUCAAAUGCCUCAUGGGCCAUGUUAACAGUUUUGAAUUCCUCCCUGGGAAAGGGCUGUAGCAGGGAAGUGACAUGGCUAAUUCAGCAUUUUUAAGAAUAUCACUUUGCCUGUCGUGGGCCAUGCAAACUGGAUUCAGGAGACAAGUUAUGAUCUUGUUGUAUCAGCAUAAGUGAGAAGAUGGGAGCUUGGAACAAGGUUCAGAGGACAACGCUGCCUCCUGGAAGCCAAAACUCUUUCCAAUGUGAGUAUACUUCUCUUUUCCAAAUCUACUUUCAGUGAUUACCACUCUGAUAGGCAAAUAUUCUCACUAUCAUCUACCCAAAUUAUUCCUGGUCUUCCUUCUACCUUUGUUCCAAUUGCUCCUUUCUUCACAAAUGUCAUCUUCUUCAUUUACUUAUACCACAACCAUUUUAUACAUCCAAGCUCAAGUUCCAUCUCCCCACUUCUUUAGAUAAUUCCCACCCACAGACACAUAGUUCUUUCUCUACAUUGACCAUAUGCUAGUACUUCCUUUUCCUCUUCCUGAUGAAAUUAUAAGCUACUUAGGGAAGGAAAUGUGUCUUACAUUUCUCUGAAUUCCCCUGUAAGACCAAGAACAAGGCUGGGAUUAAGUGCAAAACACCCUUUAAACCUAAUCAAAUUUCACUGCAAUGAAAAAUGUCUAGUAUAUGGAUGAUAAUUUGGAAAAAUACUAUGUUCCAAGUUGUACUAAAAACAAAAAGGCACUAUAUGAACAUGAGGGUAUUAUAGAAGAAUAUUUUAUAACAGGUAAAAAUCCAAGGCAUGUGCAGCUGGCUCCCUUAAUUUCCAGAUUACUCUAUGAGCUUGCCUUUUAGUAAACAUGUCCUUUCUGCCUUUUGUAUAUUCCUGCUCAUACCAAAAUGCAACAGCAGCACCCAUGAACUUGGUCCUCAGUGGGACUUCCAUUAGAACAUCUUCAAAAGCAGGAGGAAAGCAGGUCUUGUUCUACACAUGCCAGAGUAUAUUCCCACUGUGGCCCUACUACCACUGUUUUUCAUCUGUUGGUCUUAUAAAACUCUGACAGCAGAGUAAGAAAGGGUUUGAGAAGCAGGUCUUAUGAGGACAUACAUUACCAAGAAUGUACCUCCAUAUUCACUCUGUAUAUUAGCCCCACAAAUCUUCAAUAAAGCAACAACAUGCUUGAUAUGCUUGAAUUUUUUUGUGGAAGCUGGUGAAGAGGCUAAAUUUUGUGGGACCUUAAAAAAGGGUCAGACCACAUGUGCCCAAGAUAUAGUUCCAGGCUUCCCUGAUACCAGCUAAUGUACACUGAGCAUGUCAGGCAAAAGGCAAAGUUAUUUCAACCUGUUAGCUCUCCUAAUCUUUAUAACAACCCUGUGAAUUAACUUGAAUUGCUACAAAUAACAUGCCUGAGGCUCAGAGAAUGGAGGUAACUCAUUCAGCUCCAAAAAACCUAAUAAUGGGGCCAGGACUCUGACCAAGGUUUGUCUGAUUACUGAAUUGGAACCUGAAUUUCAAUUUUAGAGCUCCCCAACCAGUUACCAUGCAUUGACUAUCCAUGUACUAGGAGCAUCUAAGCAGGGCCUUGGAUGGCUGAGCUCCUCUGAUAUUUCCAAACCAGGCUUUGCUUACAGUGUAAACAUUCUCUUUUUUCUUGUUAGUGUCACCAACCUGAGGCUUCUCUGUUGUAACUCAGUUGUCUCAGGAACUUCCAUGGUUACUCAGUGUUCUCCCAGCCCCUGUGAGGUCACAUAUGUCUGUGCCCGUGUCUGUGAUGAGUAUAUUUAACCUCAGGGUCAAGACAGAAGAUAUUGGAAGAGAAGGAGAAGCCACUGGCUCAUUUCCCAGUUUUUCCAUUUUUAUUGAAAAAAUAAAAGUAUUUCCUGUAA
rnacentral:lncRNA from 1 species